CUUGUUAAUGUUUAAUUUAUUGGCUCAAUCACUAAACAACGUUACUUAGAGGUUUUUUACUAUUAGCUACAUUUAGACUAUGAUAAGAAGAUAGGUAAACAAACUGAAGAAAGUGACUUUUAGGACACUCGAAUUAACUUUCCAAAUGCUGGCUGUCACAGAUUCAGAAGAGUUAAUGUUAGUGAUUCAGAAUAAAACAUAUGAAAAUGAACUUUGCACUGGUUCCAAAAUUCUAACUUCCCUCAGACAUAGGCAAAAAGAAUAAAACUUUACACAAUAAAAUCUAUGAAAACUUAGUCUAUCUUAAAGUUGACUUGAUAUACAUUAAUGUAUUUAAGCACUAGUGUCAAUUAUUUGUUUAGAUGACGUGUCCAAUAGUGUUUUAUCACAGGAAGUAGGUUAUAGUUAUGUAAUCUUCAAAUUACAUAAUUACAUAAGUAUAUACAUAUAUAUAACUAUAUGCAGAGUAUAACUGUAUGCAUAUACAUACAUUUAAAUUUUAAGCUAUAAUCAUUUAUAAAUUAAAACAAUGACUUACUUUGAGACAGAGUAGUCCAUCAGAAAUAUGAUACAAGCCACAAAUGCAAACCACAUGUGUAAUCUGAAAUUUUCUUCCCUUUCUUGGAGACAGGGCCUCACUCUGUUGCCCAGGCUGGAGUGCAGUGGGGCGCUAUCUCAGCUCACUAUAGCCUGGAUCCCCUGGGCUCAAGUAAUCCUCCCACUUCAGCCUCCCAAGUAGCUGGGAUUACAGGUACACACCACCACAUCUGGCUAAUUUUUGUAUUUUUUGUAGAGGUGGGGUUUCACCAUAUUGCACAAGCUGGUCUCACACUUCUGGGCUCAAGUGAUCCGCUCGCCAAAACAAAUAACCUGAUUUUAAAAUGGGCAAUGGACUUAAUAGACAACUCUCAAAAGAGGAUAUACGGCUGGACGCAGUGGCUCACGCUUGUAAUCCCAGAACUUUGAGGCUGAGGUGGGUGGAUCACCUGAGGUCAGGNNNNNNNNNNNNNNNNNNNNNNNNNNNNNNNNNNNNNNNNNCAUGGGAGGGGAUUUUUCUCAAAUACCACAAUAAAGGGGGAAUCUGUAAUAAUGAAAUAUUAUUCCUCCCUAUCCUGGCUGUGAAUUACAACCUCUUAAGAGUCUUUCUCCUUAUUUACCAUUUCUUUGCUUAUUUCCUUCAUCCUAUUAAUAGCAAACACGAAGUAUUCCCUUUAGAAAAGAAUGUACGAAGAGUGGUGGAAAAAUAGGAAUAAUUUCCUUCAACCUAAUCAUCCCAAACUCAAACAAAACAACCCUCGCAUUCUCCGGCACUAAGGUGCUCCCUGGCAAGGGAAGUCAAGAGCGGAACAGAAGGUACAGAUAGAAUUUAUACCUCAUGGGGCCCACGACAGACCCAGCCAUGCCUGGGAGGAAGGCUGUGAAUGCAGCAAAGUCCUGAAACCCAAGAAAAUGCCUUC
rnacentral:lncRNA from 1 species